UACGGAGGGGGCGAGCGUUAUUCGGAAUUAUUGGGCGUAAAGGGCGCGUAGGCGGCUUGAUGUGUCAAAGGUGAAAUCCCUCGGCUCAACUGAGGAACUGCCUUUGAAACUGUCUGGCUUGAGGCCGGGAGAGGGUAGCGGAAUUCCCAGUGUAGCGGUGAAAUGCGUAGAUACUGGGAGGAACACCGGUGGCGAAGGCGGCUCACUGGACCAUAACUGACGCUGAGACACGAAAGCGUGGGUAGCAAACAGG
rnacentral:rRNA from 1 species